AUUGAACGCUGGCGGCAGGCCUAACACAUGCAAGUCGAGCGGAUGAGAGGAGCUUGCUCCUUGAUUUAGCGGCGGACGGGUGAGUAAUGCCUAGGAAUCUGCCUGGUAGUGGGGGAUAACGUUCCGAAAGGAACGCUAAUACCGCGUACGCUCUACGGGAGAAAGCAGGGGACCGUCGGGCCUCGCGCUAUCAGAUGAGCCUAGGUCGGAUUAGGUAGUUGGUGAGGUAAUGGCUCACCAAGGCGACGAUCCGUAACUGGUCUGAGAGGAUGAUCAGUCACACUGGAACUGAGAAACGGUCCAGACUCCUACGGGAGGCAGCAGUGGGGAAUAUUGGACAAUGGGCGAAAGCCUGAUCCAGCCAUGCCGCGUGUGUGAAGAAGGUCUUCGGAUUGUAAAGCACUUUAAGUUGGGAGGAAGGGCAGUAAGUUAAUACCUUGCUGUUUUGACGUUACCGACAGAAUAAGCACCGGCUAACUUCGUGCCAGCAGCCGCGGUAACAC
rnacentral:rRNA from 1 species